rnacentral:piRNA from 1 species
UGAAAGAAGUCUCUCCUCAGGAGGCUGAAGC